AUGAGAUUUCCUUCUCUCGUUUGUGCUCCCGGGGUAAGAUGUGAUCCUGUUCUAAGCCAAUCUCAUAUUUGCAGAUUGAAGAGAAGCACAAGCAGGACAGCUUUUAAACCGGCCCAAGAAAAAUGUUCAAUUCAUUUGUGGAUUUCACUUUGCAGACAACCUAAGAACAAACUGCAAGUGUGCUCCUUCUUUGAAGACGGCCACAGGUGGAGAUGGCGACCUCAGAGCAUGACAGACUCAAGAUGUGUAAGGUUUCUUCACUGAAAGAAACAAGCCGUAGGUGUGGAGGUGAGCAAGUGUCGUUGUAAGGGAGUGUUACAGUCCUGGGCACUGUGUGUUUCUCAGCCUUUCCUGAGCUAAGGAAACUUCUGUGCAACAAGAAAGAAGAUGUAAUGUUCAGAAGAGCAAGCCUGCUGACAGCUGAAAACUUUGUUUAUUGCCUUUGGUUAUCUCCACUUUACUGCACCAAAUUUUCUGGUUCUGCACAGCCAUUGACAAGGCACAGAGAGAGGAAACGAUGCCACUUUUCAGGUGGAAGCUGAUAGUAGGUGGCAUGAGGAAGGGAAACAACUACAGCAGGAUGUUUCAAUGUCUUCAGGCAUGCUCUAGCUCCCUGACACAUUGGCAUUUUUCGGCAAGACACUGCGAAGUGCAUGCACUUCAUCAGGAUCCAUUGUUUGUGUGACUCUGUCACACCCUCCCUGGGCUCCAGAAGGUGAGAAACUGAGCCUAAUGAAGUCAUGGAAAAACACCAGAGAAGCACUGCUUAACAUGCUCUGCCUUUCCUCAGCCUGUGCUGUUUCUGUAAUCCUGACCUCAUCCCUUUCUCUGGUGUCCAGCCUGGAUCCAGAGAUGGUAACUGAAGCUUGUCAUCUCGGUUGCCCAACACUUUACCAAGCCUUUACCUCAGAAAAGUAGUUGCUGUGAAGGUGAUGGCUCUCUGCCUACUCUGUCAUUGGAGUGGAAAUGCCACCAAGAUUUAAAGCUCCCUUCUCCCUGCCCCUCUGCUCCAGGACCACAGAGGUGAGAGGAUGCAGCUUUAAUCCAUCCUGUUCACUCUGCUCCUGACUGCUGCACUAGUUUUAAUAGAAAUUGGAGAAGAUGGAAUCCUACUGCAGAGCAUCAGUUUCACUUUAGUUAAGAUUCCAUUUGUAAAUGGGUGUCAGGUGUCGCCUGCACCAAGGCAGGCAAAUAUGUGGGACCUGGUGAAACAGGAAUGCAGAAGGAAUAAAACAGGCUGCUUGGUACA
rnacentral:lncRNA from 1 species